CUUCGAACAAAUUGACGGGUCUUUGGGUCUUCACAGUUAGGGCUUUUGCAAUUGGGACAGAGAGAGCAUUUUGAUGCGAAGAUGAAGUUGGGAGGAAAACUUUGGGAUUAAUGAUAAUCCCUUUAGCCGUAUGAAACAUGAUUCACACAAAUUGAUAGAGAAAAACCGAUCUCGCGCGGCAAAUGAUUCACACAAAUCGAUCUAUAACGACGAGUGAUUCACACAAAUCACACAAAUCGAUCUCGCGCGGCAAAUUUUGGGGCUAACUUUUUCAUUCUCCCGCCUAAACAAUGGCCAAGGAAGACGA
rnacentral:lncRNA from 1 species